CCGUCUAUUUAGUUCAGGUGUGUGCUCCUUCCGUUAUUGGUUUGGUUUGGCCAAUUGUCGUUUCUCUGCUGCUGUAUGGCACGCUAUCAUUUUUUUCAUCAUUAAUCAUUAACUAUGUAUAUAUUUUCAUUUUGUAACAUUUUGAUAAUUAUACAUCUGUAUAUAUAAUGAAACCUGCUUAGUGUGUGUCCCAGUUAACACGUUUUUCAGUUAGCAAUGAACAUUUCCAGCAAAAUGUUGCCUUUUUGCACACAUUUUUGGAUUAGUGUACAGUAUGGUGCGCACCUUGGCGUAGUAUGAGUACACAGUGAAUGCAGUUCUCCGGAUCAAAGUCAGGACACUGGGUUUGGUUCACGGAAGUGAUGACCUCAUCUUUCACCUUGUAGCAGUCAUACCUGGUACAGUUAUCAUUUGGUGGCCACCAAGACUGAGAAGGCUAUUGGAACAAGAAGGAGAGACCCGUCAUCGGGCUGCACCGUUUCCAACAAUCACCCCUCCAGUCGACACAGACAGAUGCCUCGGCACACAUCAUCGCGUACGCCUCCAGACUGGAGCAUCCCACGGUGGAGUUUGGCAUCUGGCAGACAUCAAAUUUGCAGGCCUUAUAAAAGGAUUCCGAAACCUUUGCCAUCAUCAAAACGGCCAACAGGACACUGACAUCCGGACUCGCACUCGCUGGAGUCCUACAAAGAAAGAUAACUGCAGUGAAAGAGUGUUUUUCCUUCGCUGUGUUGGUAAACUUAUGCAUGACAGUAUUAAAAAAAACAAAAAAAACAAUAACUCACACAUUCAUCAUUAUCCAGA